GUAUUCGGAUUCACAUCAAUCCACAUGUGUUGGGAACUUGGGAUGGAUUGGAGUGGAACUUAAACUAAAUUCCAACCCAAUCCACUUUAUCACAUGUGGAUUGGGGUGAAUCCGACA
rnacentral:pre_miRNA from 1 species